GACAUGCGCAGUGAGUGCCUCCCGUCUCUUCUACCCGAACCCCCCCUCCCCCCCCCAGCAGAGAGACCCCAGCAGCAGCAGCAGCUGAUGAUGAAGAGAGAGGCAGUGGCAGAGGGGGGGCACCUUUUAUUUCUAUUUUUAAAGGGACAGGACACUAAUUUUACCCCACUUCAACCUUGAAUUGAGGGGGGUGGGGGGAAGGCGGCUGAGUUCCUUCCCCCACCCUCCAGCCCUGAGACCUGAGAGGGGGAUUGAGCCUGAGAGAGAAGAAGAAGGAGUUUCUUCUUCUUCGAAAACCCCCAUCCACGACUCCUACCCCCUCACCCCUCCACUAGCCUCCCUCCCGAGCCCCCUCCACCCUCCUCUUUGGCCGUGAGAGGAGGAGAGAAAGAGACCAAAAGCCUCUUAGCAACACAGACCCUUCUCUGCUGCUGCUGCUGCUGCUGCUACUGCUGCUGCUGCUUGGCCCUGGCUGGAGACAUCUCACUACACCCAGGAGCAGCCACUUCCCCAGCUCUCCUCCUCCUUCGCCUCCUCCUCCUCCACUCCCCCCCCUUUAUUACCCUUUGUGUCAUCCUCCACAGCUCCAGGGAAGGCACUCAAAAGUGGGGGGCAGGAAAGACACUUAUCAACUUUCCAGUUUUCUAUGGAUAUGAAGAUUUACUCCUAGUCAUCAGUGGGACCCCAUGAAGUCAGCCAGAAAGCCUAUGUCCAACUUAUGUACCUUUGCAAACUUGUCUGGAUUUUGAAUGUAUGUGCAAAACAGAUUGUACUUAGGUAUUCAUUAAACAUCUUUUGAGCAUCUACUGUCUGUCAGGCACUGUGCUAGGCAUCUGAGAAACAAGGAUGGUCCCUACAGUUUAAUGUGAAGAGGUAUUUUAAUUGUAUUCCACAAGUAUAUUGGUCAUAACUUUAUUUUGAUGUUUCUAAAUAAAUUUUAUAUUAACUAAAUAAAUGGAUACUGUUAGGUGGAAAAAUGCAUGUUUAAGAAGGAUUUUGCUGUAUUUUAUUAAGAUAGAAAUAUAUAAUGAAAAAUUUUCCACUUAAUACUGUAUUCUGGGGCUCUCUAUUCUGUAUAUAAUUCACUAAUUUUAGACCAUAAAAAUAGUCUAUGUGACCAUCAUUACUAGUAUUUUAUUGAUACAUACUUUUAUUUGAAGAUUAUCAACAUUGUUUAUUGAAGUAUCUCUUAUAAAAUUAUUCCAAAACAAAAAACAAACCCCAAACUCUCCAAACUUAAACUUUUUUUUCUCAAAAGUAACUUCUCUUCUUACAUUUCAUAUACCAGGUUAUCUUUCAUGGUUCAUUGGAAUACAUGGUACAUCAUUUUCAUUUUGAUCAUUUAGUUAUUUUCUGUAGUUUAAGCUAACAGUAUAAUUUAUUUAUCAUGGAAUAAUUAUGGUAUAUACUGUUCAGGAGUUUUGGAAUUUUUAUUGUGUACUAGAUAAAUUCCUCCGAGAUCCUCAUUAGAAACUUCCCAGUUCUACCUCUAAAUUGGUUAGUUGCAAUUAUUAAUCCUAUGUUAUGUAACUUCAGUAAAAUGAGUUAUUAAUUUCUUAGUUAAUGGAUGUUUCAAAACCAAAGAAUACUAUCUUGGUUCCUAUCAUGGCUUUCGUAUGUAAUUUAAAGAUUAGAGAGAGAUUUCCUGGAUUUUCUUUGUCCUUCUUCAACUGUACCUCUUAGAGUAAUAUUGAUUCACAAUUUGGAAGGAGGAGGAGCUUGGGCUCCCUUGCUGGUACAGUAUCUUGUGCAGGUAAAUAGAUUCCUGAAGGUCAA